UGUGGAUUAAUUCGAUGCAACGCGAAAAACCUUACCUGCUCUUGACAUGUACGGAACUUGCCAGAGAUGGCUUGGUGCCCGAAAGGGAGCCGUAACACAGGUGCUGCAUGGCUGUCGUCAGCUCGUGUCGUGAGAUGUUGGGUUAAGUCCCGCAACGAGCGCAACCCUUGUCAUUAGUUGCCAUCAUUCAGUUGGGCACUCUAAUGAGACUGCCGGUGACAAACCGGAGGAAAGUGGGGAUGACGUCAAGUCCUCAUGGCCCUUAUGAGCAGGGCUUCACACGUCA
rnacentral:rRNA from 1 species